GCAUAUCAAUAAGCGGAGGAAAAGAAACUAACAAGGAUUCCCUUAGUAACGGCGAGUGAAGAGGGAAAAGCUCAAAUUUUAAAUCUAUCAUGUUUGUACAUGAUCGAAUUGUAAUUUGAAGAAGCGUUUUCUCGUACUUUAUGCAAUCAGUAUAAGUUCUCUUGGAACAGGACAUCAUAGAGGGUGAUAAUCCCGUCUGUUACUGGUUGUGAGGUUCGUUAUGAUACGCUUUCAAAGAGUCGAGUUGUUUGGGAUUGCAGCUCCAAAUGGGUGGUAAACAUCACCUAAGGCUAAAUAUUUGCGAGAGACCGAUAGCGAACAAGUACCGUGAGGGAAAGAUGAAAAGAACUUUGAAAAGAGAGUUAAAAAGUAUGUGAAAUUGUUGAAAGGGAAACGAUUGAAGUCAGUCGUGCAGUCAUCAAUUCAGCGGUUAACAUUUUUAUGUUUCCGUGUAAUUUGGUGUCUGUUGGUUAGCAUCAAUUUUGAUUGUUAUAAAAAGGUUAAGGGGAUGUGGCUCCUUCGGGAGUGUUAUAACCCUCAGCGUAAUGUGACGAUUAGGAUUGAGGUUUGCAACGAAUACCUUUUAGGGCAGUUUCACCUGGCCUCUCGUGGAAUUAUAGAUAGUUAAGAGCAUGCUCUUACUGUUUAUGAUUCUACGAAAAGGUUGGAGUGUAAAACUAAUUCGUUAAGGAUGUUGACGUA
rnacentral:rRNA from 1 species